UACAGAGGGUGCAAGCGUUGUUCGGAAUUAUUGGGCGUAAAGGGCGCGUAGGCGGUGCGGUAAGUCUGCAGUGAAAUCUCUGGGCUCAACUCAGAGUCUGCUGUAGAAACUGCCGUGCUUGAGGACUGGAGAGGAGACUGGAAUUUACGGUGUAGCGGUGAAAUGCGUAGAUAUCGUAAGGAAGACCAGUGGCGAAGGCGGGUCUCUGGACAGUUCCUGACGCUGAGGCACGAAGGCCAGGGGAGCAAACGGG
rnacentral:rRNA from 1 species